GAUGAACGCUGACGGCGUGUCUAACACAUGCAAGCCAGGGGUUUCGGCCCCGGCGCACGGGUGAGUAACGCGUAGAUAAUCUGCCCAUAUCUCUGUGAUAACAUCGGGAAACUGUAAUAAGCACAGAUGAGGACUUCGGUUCAAAUGCAAAGGAUAUGGAUGAGUCUGCGUAUGAUUAGAUAGUUGGUAGGGUAAUCCGGCCUACCAAGUCAACGAUCAUUAGCGGGUUUGAGAGGACGAUCCGCCACACUGGAACUGAGACACGGUCCAG
rnacentral:rRNA from 1 species